rnacentral:tmRNA from 1 species
GGGGGUGAUCGGUUUCGACAACGGUCGCCGAGACAGGUGAAGCGGGCCGAGGUUCACGGCAGAUCUCGCAAACCAUGCCGUGAAAAAACAAGCGCCAACUCUAAGCGCACCGACUUCGCUCUCGCUGCCUAAGCAGCGACAGCACUAGGAAGUCCGUCAGCCCGGGAACUCUUCCGCCCCGGGGUCUGGCGUCGCCAGGAAGAUCACCGAGCGCGUCGGUCACGGGCGCGUCAGGGAAACUCACAGUGACUGAGGCCGUGUUCCCCACAAGGCCACGAGAAAUGGGGAGGCCAAAGACCACGGCAUAGUGGCUGCGCCCGGAGAAGCCCUCAAUCGCCGCCGAUGGACGCGGGUUCGAUUCCCGCCACCUCCACCC